AAGAUCAUACUUCACAGGAUCAUUUCUGUAGUAGAUCUAACUAGCUCUGUCCUCAAAAGCAGAGUUGAUGCAGCCACGAUGAGGAGACGUAGCUCCUUUCCCUGAGCGUGAGGAAGACUCGAGAAGUUGGCUUCGUUCAAUUUCUCAGUCAUCGAUGAUCGUUCACCUCUUGUACUCAGUACGAGAGGCCUGGGAAGUGGGGCGUUCUGAGUGGU